rnacentral:rRNA from 1 species
UGGGGAAUUUUGGACAAUGGGCGCAAGCCUGAUCCAGCCAUGCCGCGUGCAGGAUGAAGGCCUUCGGGUUGUAAACUGCUUUUGUACGGAACGAAAAGGUGCCUUCUAAUAAAGGGCGCUCAUGACGGUACCGUAAGAAUAAGCACCGGCUAACUACGUGCCAGCAGCCGCGGUAAUACGUAGGGUGCGAGCGUUAAUCGGAAUUACUGGGCGUAAAGCGUGCGCAGGCGGUUUUGUAAGACAGAUGUGAAAUCCCCGGGCUUAACCUGGGAACUGCGUUUGUGACUGCAAGGCUGGAGUACGGCAGAGGGGGGUGGAAUUCCACGUGUAGCAGUGAAAUGCGUAGAGAUGUGGAGGAACACCGAUGGCGAAGGCAGCCCCCUGGGCCUGUACUGACGCUCAUGCACGAAAGCGUGGGGAGCAAAC